ACCGAAUAGAUACCCCGGUAGUCCACGCCCUAAACUAUGCGAACUGGAUGUUGGGUACAUUACGGUACUCAGUGUCGAAAAGCUAAACGCGUUAAGUUCGCCGCCUGGGGGAGUACGGUCGCAAGACUGAAACUCAAAGGAAUUGACGGGGGCCCGCACAAGCGGUGGAGUAUGUGGUUUAAUUCGAUGCAACGCGAAGAACCUUACCUGGCCUUGACAUCUGUCGAAUCCUGCAGAGAUGCGGGAGUGCCGCAAGGAACGACAAGACAGGUGCUGCAUGGCUGUCGUCAGCUCGUGUCGUGAGAAUGUUGGGUUAAGUCCCGCAACGAGCGCAACCCUUGUCCCUAGUUGCCAGCACAUCAUGGUGGGAACUCUAGGGAGACUGCCGGUGACAAACCGGAGGAAGGUGGGGAUGACGUCAAGUCCUCAU
rnacentral:rRNA from 1 species